UGCUGUCUGAACAAAUGUUGCAGGUUCGACUCCUGCCCCAGGCAAAUGAUAUCGGGACAAGGACAUAAAUGGCAGUGGGUACUAUAAGCCUGGUGACCCACCGUUUGUUCAACAGCCUGUGCCUUUUAAGCAAAAUUGAAAGUUUAAUUUAUACUGCAUGUUUUAUUUGCAUAUUAGCAUUAGCAUGAGAAAGUUAGGGUUAGGGGGUAAGGCUUAUCCUUAGCGUUAGUAUUAGGUUGUUAGGCUCUCCGUUACUUUCAGCUCAUGCUUAGGGUAUGUCUGUAUUAUGCUUAGGGUUUCUUCGGCAUAUAGUUGGGCCUAUACUUAGGGUUCGGUCUAGGUGUGCAUCCUAGGGCUCAGCCAAGGAUUAGGGUUAGGCUGAUGUUGUUUGUUUCAGCUUAAGCUUAGGGUUUGUCUGCAUUUUGCUUAGGUUUUGGCUUAUAAUUAGGGUUUCUUCGGCCUAUACUUAGGGUUCGGUCUAGGUGUGCUGCCAGCCUAGGGGCUCGGCCAAGGAUUAGGGUUUGGUUGAUAUGCCCUCUGUUGUUUCAGCUUAAGCUG
rnacentral:sRNA from 1 species